rnacentral:rRNA from 1 species
UACGAAGGGGGCUAGCGCUGUUCGGAAUUACUGGGCGUAAAGCGCACGUAGGCGGGUUGUUAAGUCAGGGGUGAAAUCCUGGAGCUCAACUCCAGAACUGCCUUUGAUACUGGCAACCUAGAGACUGGAAGAGGUUAGUGGAAUUCCCAGUGUAGAGGUGAAAUUCGUAGAUAUUGGGAAGAACACCAGUGGCGAAGGCGACACGCUGGGCCGUACCUGACACUGAUGCGCGACAGCAUGGGGAGCAAACAGG